AGAGAGAUGUAACAGACAGAAGGAGAAAGAGAAACAGAGUAGUAUGAACUCAAUUCUUCAUUAUCCAAAAACUUACUAGAAACCACUACAGCACUGCUGCCUCCUAAUUCAAAAAGAUCAGAAAAAGUAGAAUCCUUACAUUCGAAUCAAAUAGAUGCUCAGAAAGAUAGAAACACUUGGCCAUAAAUCUCAGUUUGAUUAGGGUGUCUCUUCCGAUAAUCGUUGCUCUUUGAUUUCAAGACCUAUUUGUAGGGAUAAGAAAUUUCACUUUACAUCUUAACUUAAUAAUGAGUUGAUUACAAACCAUCACUGCCAUGGGAAUUAGAUGUUUGUAGUUCAUAUUGGAUUCAUGUGGCUGAUGCUCAAUGGUUGCGGUAAUAUAAGAUCAUGGUUUCUUUUUGUUUGCACUAUCACAUGUUUAUCUAGGUCCUUACGCAUCUCCACUUUUAUAUUUAGUUUUGUUUUUCAAUGGUUAGUUCACUAGUGAUAUGCACAAUUAUAAAAACGCUUAAAGACAUAUACCAACGUAUACGUAUUUUCACUAGUCCUGUGGCAUCUUUUGUCUGAAAAUUGUAUACAUUGCUCCCACCGAGAUAGGAAAGGAGUUAAAGCAAGUUAAUACUUUCAUAUGAUUCAAAAGAGAAGACCGGGUCUUGCUUAUCUGCUUUAUGUGUAGAAAGAUGCAGGAAUCUGCUGGUUGUGUCUUUCUGCAGGGCCCUACUGCCAUGAGCCUAGGGAUGAAAUAAUUUAGAGAGGUGAACACCGUCCAUUUGUUCAGCAUUGGAAUUACAUUUUUUGCUCUCUAGCAGCCCAUAAGUGCCUUACAAGGUGUAGGAAAGGGUUUUGAGCCCUACAAGGACAGCAAAUUAAAGUGGAUCUUCUUGGCCCAAAGUUGCUCUUCAUUACCCUUAAUUUGGGGGGUUUGGCACUUGGUGUCUGGAAGGUGGUCUUUGUUCCAUUCCUGAGGGAUGUGAACUGAAUUUUAGGUGUCUGGCAUCUAACUCUCUCUUUGUGGGAGGGUGACGAGAUUAUAUUUUCUGCCAGAAAAAAGCUUCUUUGAAAUGUUUCGCGGCAUUAGGUUGUCAUUCUUGAUGGCUUUCUCCUAGCUGUUGGAUAGCUUUUUUAACAUUUUUUUUUUGUCCAAUUUUCAGGAGGUUGAGUAUUCUGGUGGUGGCAUUCCUCUAUAUUGACAUCCAUGUUUGUUUUGGUUUACUGCCAAUAUCAGCGGAUAAUGAGACUUGCAAAAAGUGAAGCAGGAGGAGAUGUGUUGCUGUGUACUGGCUGGCCGACGGUGCAUAGCAUGUUGCUUAGUCUGGAUCAUGUGAUUCUAGAGUUUAAAUGAUAUAUGUGAUUCUAGAGUUUAAAUGAUAUCAA